rnacentral:rRNA from 1 species
UACGGGGGGGGCAAGCGUUGUUCGGAAUUACCGGGCGUAAAGGGCUCGUAGGCGGCCAACUAAGUCGGACGUGAAAUCCCUCGGCUCAACUGGGGAACUGCGUCCGAUACUGGUUUGGCUUGAGUUCGGGAGAGGGAUGUGGAAUUCCAGGUGUAGCGGUGAAAUGCGUAGAUAUCUGGAGGAACACCGGUGGCGAAGGCGGCAUCCUGGACCGACACUGACGCUGAUGAGCGAAAGCCAGGGGA